rnacentral:rRNA from 1 species
CCUGAUGCAGCGACGCCGCGUGAGGGAUGACGGCCUUCGGGUUGUAAACCUCUUUCAGCUCCGAAGAAGCGAAAGUGACGGUAGGAGCAGAAGAAGCACCGGCUAACUACGUGCCAGCAGCCGCGGUAAUACGUAGGGUGCAAGCGUUGUCCGGAAUUAUUGGGCGUAAAGAGCUCGUAGGCGGUGUGUCGCGUCUGCUGUGAAAACUCAGGGCUCAACUCUGAGCUUGCAGUGGGUACGGGCAUACUAGAGUGCUGUAGGGGAGACUGGAAUUCCUGGUGUAGCGGUGAAAUGCGCAGAUAUCAGGAGGAACACCGGUGGCGAAGGCGGGUCUCUGGGCAGUUACUGACGCUGAGGAGCGAAAGCAUGGGGAGCGAACAGGAUUAGAUACCCUGGUAGUCCAUGCCGUAAACGUUGGGCGCUAGGUGUGGGGUCCAUUCCACGGAUUCCGUGCCGCAGCUAACGCAUUAAGCGCCCCGCCUAGGGAGUACGGCCGCAAGGCUAAAACUCAAAGGAAUUGACGGGGGCCCGCACAAGCGGCGGAGCAUGCGGAUUAAUUCGAUGCAACGCGAAGAACCUUACCAAGGCUUGACAUGCGCGGUGGAAUCCCAGAGAUGGGGGUGUCAUUUUAGUU